UACGGGGGGGGCAAGCGUUGUUCGGAGUUACUGGGCGUAAAGGGCGCGUAGGCGGCCUGCUAAGUCGGACGUGAAAUCCCUCGGCUCAACCGAGGAACUGCGUCCGAUACUGGUGGGCUUGAAUCCGGGAGAGGGAUGUGGAAUUCCAGGUGUAGCGGUGAAAUGCGUAGAUAUCUGGAGGAACACCGGUGGCGAAGGCGGCAUCCUGGACCGGUAUUGACGCUGAGGCGCGAAAGCUAGGGGAGCAAACGGG
rnacentral:rRNA from 1 species